rnacentral:rRNA from 1 species
UGAGGAAUAUUGGUCAAUGGACGCAAGUCUGAACCAGCCAUGCCGCGUGAAGGAUGAAGGCGUUCUGCGUUGUAAACUUCUUUUAUUGGGGAAGAAACCUGAGAUUUCUAUUUCAGCCGACGGUACCCAAGGAAUAAGCACCGGCUAACUCCGUGCCAGCAGCCGCGGUAAUACGGAGGGUGCAAGCGUUAUCCGGAUUUACUGGGUUUAAAGGGUGUGUAGGCGGACUAUUAAGUCAGCGGUGAAAUCUCCGGGCUCAACCCGGAAACUGCCAUUGAUACUAUUAGUCUUGAAUGUUGUGGAGGUGGGCGGAACGGGUCAUGUAGCGGUGAAAUGCAUAGAUAUGACCCGGAACACCGAUUGCGAAGGCAGCCCGCUACGCAACUAUUGACGCUGAGGCACGAAAGCGUGGGGAUCAAACAG